UAGGCCUUGUUCGGCAGGGGUGGGUUUUUGAGUUUCGGAGUGUCUUACCCGGCCCAAUUUGAAUCCACUGGAAAACACCUCUGGACCGUUCGGUAGGCUGGGAUUGGGGUGUUUCAGCCCGAUUGACCCUCCCGAUACACGGCGGGUUACGGCGGGUUGGGGGUUUUCAGAAACGCUUGCCCCCACUCGCGUUUCUACCUCUUGGCGAAGCGAGCGACGGCCCGGACCUCCCCUCGCGGUGGCGGCGCCGACCAACGCUGCCAACGACGCCGGCCGCUCCACCAUAUCACAGCCAGAAAGCCUGGAACUCCUGCACCUCCUUCUUCCCAUCCCGCAACCGGCCGCUCCUUCUUUUCCGGCACCGCCGUUGACGACGCCGCCGAGAUCUCUCCGCCGCCGCCGACGGCCGCAGAGCUGGAUUUCUCAUACUAUAAGAUAAUGGGGUUGCUAUUUUUACAAGAACCUGCAAGAAGGAUUGAGUGAGCUGCAACAGAAGAUUGCCUUAUUCUCAGAAUCAAAUGCUAUGGUAUCUACAAAUGUGCCAAAAAUUGUGAGAUUUUCAUCAAUGUUGCUGCUAGGCAUUCAUUGUACAAGACCUUCCAGUGCUGACUUGAAUUGGCAAACUUGUACUCCCUCCGGUUGGAUAAAAUUGACAACAAGUGUAUGAUUAGGGAGCAGUUUAUGUACUUAUUAUGUCUGCGUCGAUUAAACACGACCAGAGAGAGUAAUUAGUGUUUAUGUGCAAACUACUAGACAUAAUUCUAUACUAAUUGUUUGUACGGAAAUGAAUUUGCCUUUUCAAUGAC